rnacentral:piRNA from 1 species
UGCUAUUUGCUUAGGGCAGGCACCGG